rnacentral:rRNA from 1 species
CCUGAGAAACGGCUACCACAUCCAAGGAAGGCAGCAGGCACGCAAAUUACCCACUCCCGGCACGGGGAGGUAGUGACAAAAAAUAACGAUACGGGACUCUUUUAGAGGCCCCGUAAUCGGAAUGAAUACACUUUAAAACCUUGUNUAAAGGUCAAUYGGAGGGAAAGUCUGGUGCCAGCAGCCGCGGUAACUCCAGCUCCGAUAGCGUAUAUUAAAGUUGUUGCGGUUANAAAAGCUCGUAGUUGGUUCUGCGUAUCACGCUGUCGGUACACCGCCUGUCGGUGACACUGGCAUGCCGUGGUAUGUCCUGUCGGUGGCGGCCGUCGAAGCCCCGCCGGGUCCGGCCCGCGUCAAACCGAGCCGCCCGCGGAGCCUACGCGCGGUCGCCGACUUCUAUCCUACCGCGGUGCUCUUCACCGAGUGUCGAGGUAGGCCGACACGUUUACUUUGAACAAAUUAGAGUGCUUAAAGCAGGCUCAAAUUUCCGCCUGAAUAGUGGUGCAUGGAAUAAUGGAACAGGCCCUUGGUCCUAUUCUGUUGGUCUCCGGGACACAAGGUAAUGAUCAAUAUGGACAGUGCGGGGGCAUUCGUAUUGCGGCGUUAGACUUGGCAAAUGCUUUCGCNNNNNNNNNNNNNNNNNNNNNNNNNNNNNNNNNNNNNGGUGAAAUUCUUGGAUCGUCGCAAGACGCACUAGAGCGAAAGCAUUUGCCAAGGAAGGCGAUCAGAUACCGCCCUAGUUCUAACCAUAAACGAUGCCAGCCAGCGAUCCGCCGAUGUUCCUCCGAUGACUCGGCGGGGAGCUUCCCCCGGGAAACCAAAGCGUUUGGGUUCCGGGGGAAGUAUGGUUGCAAAGCUGAAACUUAAAGGAAUUGACGGAAGGGCACCACCAGGAGUGGAGCCUGCGGCUUAAUUUGACUCAACACGGGAAACCUCACCAGGUCAGGACAUUGGAAUGAUUGACAGAUUGAUAGCUCUUUCUUGAUUCAGUGGGUAGUGGUGCAUGGCC